AAUGAACGCUGGCGGCGCGCCUAAUACAUGCAAGUCGAGCGAGAAGACGUAGCAAUACGUUUGUAAAGCGGCGAACGGGUGAGGAAUACAUGGGUAACCUACCCCGAGUGGGGAAUAACUAGCCGAAAGGUUAGCUAAUACCGCGUACGCUCCUUGGACUUCGGUUCAGGGAGGAAAGCGAUACCGUGGGUAUCGCGCUCUUGGAUGGGCUCAUGUCCUAUCAGCUUGUUGGUGAGGAACGGCUCACCAAGGCUUCGACGGGUAGCUGGUCUGAGAGGACGAUCAGCCACACUGGCACUGCGACACGGGCCAGAC
rnacentral:rRNA from 1 species